rnacentral:rRNA from 1 species
UGUCCAGGCCAGCAUCGGUUUCGAGGGUCGGUCAAAGGCUCCGGGAAUGUAUCUACCCACGGGUAGACUUAUAGACCGGGGUGUCAUGCGACCUCUCGGGACCGAGGAACGCGCUUCGGCUCGGAUGUUGGCGUAAUGGUUGUCAGCG